GUAGACUCUGUGUCUACCAUGGCGCUCACGGGUGACGGGGAAUCAGGGUUCGAUUCCGGAGAGGGAGCCUGAGAAACGGCUACCACAUCCAAGGAAGGCAGCAGGCACGCAAAUUACCCACUCCCGGCACGGGGAGGUAGUGACAAAAAAUAACGAUACGGGACUCAUCCGAGGCCCCGUAAUCGGAAUGAGAACACCCUAAAUCCUUUAACGAGGAUCUAUUGGAGGGCAAGUCUGGUGCCAGCAGCCGCGGUAAUUCCAGCUCCAAUAGCGUAUAUUAAAGUUGUUGCGGUUAAAAAGCUCGUAGUUGGUUCUGCGUGCCACGCUGUCGGUUCACCGCCUGCCGGUGCAACUGGCAUGCCGUGGCAUGUCCUGUCGGUGGCGGAUAGGCUUCUCGGCGUGCCCUAUGCGGUAUACCAGCGUGUAGGCUGCUGCGCCGAGUUGUCCUUGUAAGCCGGCUCAAUCCUACCGCGGUGCUCUUCACCGAGUGUCGAGGUAGG
rnacentral:rRNA from 1 species